AGCGAACGCUGGCGGCAGGCUUAACACAUGCAAGUCGAGCGGGCAUCCUUGUGGUGUCAGCGGCAGACGGGUGAGUAACGCGUGGGAACGUGCCCUUCGGUUCGGAAUAACCCAGGGAAACUUGAGCUAAUACCGGAUACGUGCGAGAGCAGAAAGGUUUAUCUGCCGAAGGAUCGGCCCGCGUCUGAUUAGCUAGUUGGUGAGGUUAUGGCUCACCAAGGCGACGAUCAGUAGCUGGUCUGAGAGGAUGAUCAGCCACACUGGGACUGAGACACGGCCCAGACUCCUACGGGAGGCAGCAGUGGGGAAUAUUGGACAAUGGGGGCAACCCUGAGCCAGCCAUGCCGCGUGAGUGAUGACGGCCUUAGGGUUGUAAAGCUCUUUUCUCCGGGACGAUAAUGACGGUACCGGAGGAAUAAGCCCCGGCUAACUUCGUG
rnacentral:rRNA from 1 species